AAAGUCGUAACAAGGUUUCCGUAGGUGAACCUGCGGAAGGAUCAUUAACACGUAUCCAACGUUAAACCCCCCUGUGAACCUUUACAAGAGUAUCAUCCAUGCACGUUAUACACGGCGUAGUCCUGGUAAAUCAUUGACCGACCAGUUUUGAUUCAGGACCCACCCAAAGGAGUGUGGCUUGGUGCUAGCAAGUGACCUGGCAUCCUCUGCAUAGUUAGCGUCUGAAAGUGUCGUUGGCUGUGUACUGAUGGCGCAGUAACGAACGCUAGAGGUCAACACGACCGGCGUCCGGGUCAGCGGGUCCUCGACCCCUUUAUCACCUUUGCAUUGACACGGGUGAGCCCUUCGGGAGCUCCCACCAAAACUCGAACAACUGUUAACAAUGGAUAUCUUGGUUCUC
rnacentral:misc_RNA from 1 species